rnacentral:lncRNA from 1 species
CCCAAGAAAUGGCAAAGACAAAAAACAAACAAACAAAAGUUCCUGCACCCCUUCCUGGGGGCAGCCGGCUUCUCCGUAGAGGGUGCCUCUAAAGAGCUGUCAAGGUUUCCUGUGGGAUGAGCUGAAACCUGUUAACCUCUCCAUCUGUCCAACUCCGGUUCCCUCACCCCCAGGGCCACUCCCCAUAAACCUCCUGCAGGCCUAUUUGAGAGCCGUUUUCUGGGGAAACUGAUUUACCACAAGGUCUUAAGUUAGAGUGUAUUUUUGUGUGGUCUUAUGAGGAUCUAAGAUUAAUGAAAUUAAAUUUUAAAAUUAAUUUAUUUAUUAAUUGUUAAUAGCAUUUUCACACUGAACGCUUAGUGCACCAAAAGUAUUUAUUGAAAAACCCAUCAAAAGUUGGAAAGGCCCACUGAUUAGCAAUGCCAGCACUGUUGUAUAUACACCUACUUUCUGUUCUAGUCUGUGGAUCUGUUUAUGCCUAUAUUAAUGCUGUGUUGUUUUAAUCACUACAUGUUUAUAAUAGUUAUUAUUAUCUGUCAUGGCAUGUCGCCUCUCUGUUCAUUCAUUUUGGAUUUAUCUUGGCUCUUCUUAGACCAUUAUUCUGCCCCAUGAAUUUUAAAAUCCUGACUUCAAGUUCUCAAAGAUAUGGUUUAAAUUAUGAAUGGAAAGAAUUUAUAACAAAUUGGUAUGGUAAAAAUUGGCAAUUUUUAAUAUGAGCCUUCUCAUCCAAUAACAUGCUGUAGAUAGUUUCCAUUUAUAGUCUCCACUUAGUUUUUCAUGUUUUUCUUGUGGAUAUCUCUAGUCAUUUUAGUGUCACUAUGGGUUCACAGAGCCAUUUCUUUUUCUUUCUUUCCGGAUUUGGCUUCUUCCUUGAGCAGUCCAUCCAAGACCUUCCCCCUGGAUGUCUUCAUUCAAGAGGACUUACCCGGCAGCUCUGCAUUUUUCAGAUGUCUUGUUUCUUUAUCAAGGGAAGAAAAGCCAAAUUCUGGAGAAAAAUCCAAGGCAGGCUGGUUGGAUGGUGGGAUAUAAAAGAAUAUAUAAUUGAGCAUCCAAGAGGAUUCAUGUUCCUUUGGUUCUGGCUUUUUAUACCAUGUCAGCCCAUUUCCUCCAGCCAUGUUCAAGACCGACUUUCAGAAGCAGGUAGGAGUCCUACUUAGACUCAUAUCUGAGUCAUAGACUCUAACUCAGAUUUCAUAAAAAGGCCCUACUUUGAUGAUAUUUACUUUAUUAUGAUGAUUAUUUUAUUUAUUUAUUUAUUGCCUUUUUUGAGCCACACCUGUGGCAUAUGGAGGUUCCCAUGCUAGAGAUCAAAUAGGAGCUGUAGCCAUCAGCCUACACCAUAGCCAUAGUGACUCGGAUCCAAGCUGUGUCUGUGACCUACACCACAGCUCACGGAAAAGCCAGAUCCUUAACCCACUGAGGGAGGCCAGGGAUCAAACCUGCGGCCUCAUGGAUGCUAAUCAGAUUCGUUUCUGCUGAGCUAUGACAGGAACUCCCAAUUUUUUUUUUUUUUUUUUUUUGAGCCGUACCUGCGGCAUAUGGAAGCCCCCAAGCUAGGGGUAAAAUUGAAGCUGUAGCCGCUGGCCUACACCUCAGCCACAGCAACCUCAGAUUCGAGCUGCAUCUGUGACCUACACCGCAGCUCAUGGCAAUGCCAGAUCCUUAACUCACUGCACAAGGCCAGGGACUGAACCCACGUCCUUAUGGAUGCUAACUGGAUCCAUUUCCACUGCACCACAGUGGGAACUCUCUGAUGGUAUUUAAUAUUGGCUCACUUAUAAAUAAAUAAUUGUUUCCCUAGUUCUUCUUUCCCA